rnacentral:lncRNA from 1 species
CUCGGGUUUUGUGGGUACUACAGACGGUUUGUGAAAGAUUUCUCCAAGGUCUGUUAUCCUUUAAAUCAGCUGCUGCAGGGCUGCAUCGUAGCUAGAGGACCAAGAAGAGUGGCAGGGGCUAAGACUGCCUCUCAGCAUGGAAGGAAACCAACAUCAGGUCUGUGUCCAAAGGAGUGGCACCACCCUUCAGAGCCGUUUGGUCCUAGGUGGGAUGAGGACUGCGAGAAAGCUUUUGAAACGCUAAAAAGGAGUCUCACAGAGGCCCCAGUUUUGGCCAUCGCCAAUCCAGGACUGCCUUAUGUGCUACAUGUUGAUGCUAGUAGAGAAGGUUUGGGGGGUGUCCUCUAUCAGGAUCAGGGAGCAGGCCUGCGCCCUGUGGCUUUUGUCAGCAGAAGCCUUACCCCAGCCGAGAAAAAUUACCCCACCCAUAAGCUAGAGUUUUUGGCAUUAAAGUGGGCGAUUACCGACAAGCUGCAUGAUUACCUCUAUGGAGCUAAGUUUGAGGUGCACACAGACAAUAACCCAUUGACUUAUGUCCUGACCACAGCCAAGUUGGAUGCAGCAGGGCAUCGAUGGCUGGCAGAACUGGCCACAUAUGAUUUCAGCCUGAAGUACCGCCCCGGGAAGCAGAAUGUUGAGGCAGACGCCUUGUCACGGCGCUCACAUGUCCCUCCUGAGGCAUCUCAGGGGAGAGGGGCCAUGCCAGCUGACUCAGUCCAAGCUAUCUGCCAGAUGUCCUCAGUCAGACCACCUCGCUAUCGUCACUGCAGAGCGAUUGAUCUCAUGGGCUCAUCAAAAGGGGCGGUACCCAAAGCCUAUUGCAACUUGUCUUUCCUGAAUAUUCAGCAGCUGCCCCAACUGACUCCAACAGACCUCUCAUAUUCACAGCAGAAAGACCCCUGCAUUGGCGAAGUGUGGCAUGCGGUUAAUCAGAAGAAUGCCGAGCGUGCCAACAAAGUGAGACAUCCUGAUGUGUCUUUGCUGCUGAAAGAGUGGGAUAAGUUACAGGUUGUGAAUUCCGUAUUGUACAGGAUGAGUAAGCCACCCAACAAGCCGCCUCGCCAGCAACUGUUGCUUCCCCAAGAGUUCCGAGAGACAGUACUCCAGUCUCUACAUGACC